rnacentral:rRNA from 1 species
UACAGAGGUCCCAAGCGUUGUUCGGAUUCACUGGGCGUAAAGGGUGCGUAGGUGGUGAGGUAAGUCGGAUGUGAAAUCUCCGAGCUCAACUCGGAAAUGGCAUUGGAAACUACCUUGCUCGAGGGUUGGAGGGGGGACUGGAAUACUUGGUGUAGCAGUGAAAUGCGUAGAUAUCAAGUGGAACACCAGUGGCGAAGGCGGGUCUCUGGACAGUUCCUGACGCUGAGGCACGAAGGCCAGGGGAGCAAACGGG